rnacentral:tRNA from 2 species
GGCCCAGUGGCUCAGUUGGUUAGAGCGCCGCCCUGUCACGGCGGAGGUCGUCGGUUCGAGCCCGAUCUGGGUCG